ACGGAAGGCAGCAGUGGGGAAUAUUGGACAAUGGGGGAAACCCUGGUCCAGCGACGCCGCGUGAGUGAAGAAGUAUUUCGGUAUGUAAAGCUCUAUCAGCAGGGAAGAAGAUGACGGUACUUGACUAAGAAGCUCCGGCUAGACACGUGCCAGCAGCCGCGGUAAUACGUAUGGAGCAAGCGUUAUCCGGAUUUACUGGGUGUAAAGGGAGCGUAGACGGCAAAGCAAGUCUGAAGUGAAAUCCCGGGGCUCAACCCCGGAACUGCUUUGGAAACUGUUUAGCUAGAGUGCAGGAGAGGUAAGCGGAAUUCCUAGUGUAGCGGUGAAAUGCGUAGAUAUUAGGAGGAACACCAGUGGCGAAGGCGGCUUACUGGACUGUAACUGACGUUGAGGCUCGAAAGCGUGGGGAGCAAACAGGAUUAGAUACCCUGGUA
rnacentral:rRNA from 1 species